GAAAAUGAGAAAAAAUAAAAGUAAAUGUAAAAAUAAACAUAGGGCAGGGACAACCGGCAGAUCGAGGGAGCUUAAUGUAUGUUUAGGACCGGGCUCAUAUAGAAUAAAGUAUGAUAAGCCUCUUAAAUACCUAGAGUGAGAUAUACAGUGAGAUGGGAUACAUAGGAAUCGCAUGCAUACAUAAGAUAAGAUGGAUGUGCUGGUACUUGGGCAUAUACAUAAUCUGAAUGUGUAAUUAGAACGCUUCAAAAACCAAAAAUCUACAACAUGUGUUGUAAAGACAUGUAUGGGAGAGCGUGAAGAUGGUAUAAUGUAAAAUCCAUGUUGGAGAAAUAUCGGUUAUCAGCGAAAUAGUUCUGUAUGUAUAUAUAUAUAGUGCACUCAAGAACCGGACACGUCUAGAGUAAAAAAA